rnacentral:rRNA from 1 species
AUUGAACGCUGGCGGCAGGCUUAACACAUGCAAGUCGAGCGAUCGGCGGACGGGUGAGUAAUGUAUGGGGACUUGCCCGAUAGAGGGGGAUAACUACUGGAAACGGUGGCUAAUACCGCAUACUAUCGGAUGCACCCAUAUGGGAUUAGCUAGUUGGUGGGGUAAAGGCUCACCAAGGCCACGAUCUCUAGCUGGUCUGAGAGGAUGAUCAGCCACACUGGGACUGAGACACGGCCCAGACGCCUACGGGAGGCAGCAGUGGGGAAUAUUGCACAAUGGGCGCAACCCUGAUGCAGCCAUGCCGCGUGUAUGAAGAAGGCCUUAGGGUUGUAAAGUACUUUCAGCGGAGAGGCGUUACCCGCAGAAGAAGCACCGGCUAACUCCGUGCCAGCAGCCGCGGUAAUUC